AGUGAACGCUGGCGGUAGGCCUAACACAUGCAAGUCGAACGGCAGCACAGUAAGAGCUUGCUCUUACGGGUGGCGAGUGGCGGACGGGUGAGGAAUACAUCGGAAUCUACUUUUUCGUGGGGGAUAACGUAGGGAAACUUACGCUAAUACCGCAUACGACCUACGGGUGAAAGCAGGGGAUCUUCGGACCUUGCGCGAUUGAAUGAGCCGAUGUCGGAUUAGCUAGUUGGCGGGGUAAAGGCCCACCAAGGCGACGAUCCGUAGCUGGUCUGAGAGGAUGAUCAGCCACACUGGAAAUGAGACACGGUCCAGCAUCCGAAGGGAGGCAGCAGUGGGGAAUAUUGGACAAUGGGCGCAAGCCUGAUCCAGCCAUACCGCGUGGGUGAAGAAGGCCUUCGGGUUGUAAAGCCCUUUUGUUGGGAAAGAAAAGCAGCAGGUUAAUACCCCGCUGUUCGGACGGUACCCAAAGAAUAAGCACCGGCUAACUUCGU
rnacentral:rRNA from 1 species